CAUGAGCCACCGUGUCCUACCAGAUUUUGUUAAAAGAGGAACAGGCCAGGCAUGGUGGCUCACAUGAACACUCAUGCCCCAGAGAGACAGUGCUCACCUUUACUGGCUCAACUCAGCCUGCCUCUGCUGAGCUAGCAGGUACCCCAAGUCCCAGGAGGUCAGACAUUUGGGCUCUGGAGAGAAGCUUAAAAAAAAUUCAAGGCCGGGCGCGGUGGCUCACGCCUGUAAUCCCAGCACCUUGGGAGGCCGAGGUGGGUGGAUCAUAAGGGCAGGAGAUCGAGACCAUCCUGGCCAACAAGGUGAAACCCCAUCUCUACUAAAAAUACAAAAAGAAGUUAGCUGAGCAUGGUGGUGGACGCCUGUAGUCCCAGCUACUCGGGAGGCUGAGGCAGGAGAAUCGCUUGAACCCAGGAGGCAGAGGUUGCAGUGAGCCGAGAUCACACCACUGUACUCCAGCCUGGUGACAGAGUGAGACUCCAUCUCAAAAAAAAAAAAAAAAAAAUUCAAAAAGUUGGCCAGGUGCGGUGGCUCACGCCUAUAAUCCCAGCACUUUGGGAGGCCGAGGUGGGUGGAUUACCUGAGGUUGGGUGUUCAAGACCAGCCUGACCAAAAUGGAGAAACCCCGUCUCUACUAAAAAAUACAAAAUUAGCCAGGCGUGGUGGCGCAUGCCUGUAAUUACAGCAACUCAGGAGGCUGAGGCAGGAGAAUCACUUGGACCCAGGAGGUGGAGGUUGCAGUGAGCCAAGAUCGCACCAUUGCACUCCAGCCUGGGCAACAGGAACAAAACUCUGUCUCAAAAAAAAAGAAAAAAAAUUCCAAAAGUUGAAUUCUCCCCACCUACUCUGUUAGCUGUUAUUUAUUCCUACCUACCCCUUCCUUAUUUUUAAAUUUUUCAAACUGACAAUAAUUGACCAGCCUGGGCAAUAUAGUGAGACCCUGUCUCUAAAAAAAAAAAAAAAAAAAAAAAUUAGCCGAGUGUGGUGGCGAGUACCUGUAGUCCCAGACUCGGAAUGCUGAAGUGGGAGGACUGAUUGAACCUGAGAGGUUAAGGCUGCAGUGAGCUGAGACUGCACCACUGCACUCCAGCCUGGAUGACAGAGCAAGACCUUAUCUCAAAAACAAUAAUA
rnacentral:lncRNA from 1 species